ensembl:snRNA U1 U1 spliceosomal RNA
ACACUUACCUGGCAGGGGCAACACUGUGAUCAUGAAGGUGGUUUUCCCAGGGUAAGACUUAUCCAUUGCACUCUGGAUGUGCUGACCCCUGAGAUUUCCACAAAUGCAGGAAAUCUGACUACACAAUUUGAGGUAGUGGGGAACUGCAUUGUGCUCUCCCCUA